AAAUUGAAGAGUUUGAUCAUGGCUCAGAUUGAACGCUGGCGGCAGGCCUAACACAUGCAAGUCGAGCGGUAGCACAGAGAGCUUGCUCUCGGGUGACGAGCGGCGGACGGGUGAGUAAUGUCUGGGAAACUGCCUGAUGGAGGGGGAUAACUACUGGAAACGGUAGCUAAUACCGCAUAACGUCGCAAGACCAAAGUGGGGGACCUUCGGGCCUCAUGCCAUCAGAUGUGCCCAGAUGGGAUUAGCUAGUAGGUGGGGUAAUGGCUCACCUAGGCGACGAUCCCUAGCUGGUCUGAGAGGAUGACCAGCCACACUGGAACUGAGACACGGUCCAGACUCCUACGGGAGGCAGCAGUGGGGAAUAUUGCACAAUGGGCGCAAGCCUGAUGCAGCCAUGCCGCGUGUAUGAAGAAGGCCUUCGGGUUGUAAAGUACUUUCAGCGAGGAGGAAGGCGUUAAGGUUAAUAACCUUAGCGAUUGACGUUACUCGCAGAAGAAGCACCGGCUAACUCCGUGCCAGCAGCCGCGGUAAUACGGAGGGUGCAAGCGUUAAUCGGAAUUACUGGGCGUAAAGCGCACGCAGGCGGUCUGUCAAGUCGGAUGUGAAAUCCCCGGGCUCAACCUGGGAACUGCAUUCGAAACUGGCAGGCUAGAGUCUUGUAGAGGGGGUAGAAUUCCAGGUGUAGCGGUGAAAUGCGUAGAGAUCUGGAGGAAUACCGGUGGCGAAGGCGGCCCCCUGGACAAAGACUGACGCUCAGGUGCGAAAGCGUGGGGAGCAAACAGGAUUAGAUACCCUGGUAGUCCACGCCGUAAACGAUGUCGACUUGGAGGUUGUGCCCUUGAGGCGUGGCUUCCGGAGCUAACGCGUUAAGUCGACCGCCUGGGGAGUACGGCCGCAAGGUUAAAACUCAAAUGAAUUGACGGGGGCCCGCACAAGCGGUGGAGCAUGUGGUUUAAUUCGAUGCAACGCGAAGAACCUUACCUACUCUUGACAUCCAGAGAACUUAGCAGAGAUGCUUUGGUGCCUUCGGGAACUCUGAGACAGGUGCUGCAUGGCUGUCGUCAGCUCGUGUUGUGAAAUGUUGGGUUAAGUCCCGCAACGAGCGCAACCCUUAUCCUUUGUUGCCAGCGAUUCGGUCGGGAACUCAAAGGAGACUGCCAGUGAUAAACUGGAGGAAGGUGGGGAUGACGUCAAGUCAUCAUGGCCCUUACGAGUAGGGCUACACACGUGCUACAAUGGCAUAUACAAAGAGAAGCGACCUCGCGAGAGCAAGCGGACCUCAUAAAGUAUGUCGUAGUCCGGAUUGGAGUCUGCAACUCGACUCCAUGAAGUCGGAAUCGCUAGUAAUCGUAGAUCAGAAUGCUACGGUGAAUACGUUCCCGGGCCUUGUACACACCGCCCGUCACACCAUGGGAGUGGGUUGCAAAAGAAGUAGGUAGCUUAACCUUCGGGAGGGCGCUUACCACUUUGUGAUUCAUGACUGGGGUGAAGUCGUAACAAGGUAACCGUAGGGGAACCUGCGGUUGGAUCACCUCCUUA
rnacentral:rRNA from 1 species